GGACUGAGCUGGAUGAUGUGAAGCGGCUGCUGAAGGGGAGUCGCUCCAGCAGCAUCAGCCCCCCUCGCUCCCCCACCAGCACCCUCCCUAUUCCCAGGAAGGCCAGCGUAGAGACCAGAACCAUGCCAAACAGCUCCCAGUCAGGUACACACCCUCACCAAUAUAAUCAUGAUAAAACUAGGUAAAUAGGUACAUAAGUAGUAAUUACACAAGUAAGAAAGUACAUAAAUAAUCACUGAUGCAUUAGAUGUCCAGAAUACGUUGUUAACUGACUCACCUGUUAAAUCAAGGUUAAAUAAAGGUUAAAUAAGCAUACAUAAACAUACAUAAAACCAGUUAACCCUUUCCCUCUCUCCCAGGCCAGUACGACAGUGCCACCCUGGACUCAGGAAUGCCUUCCUACGUGUGGUCAGGCCCCACGGCUGGAGGCUAUGGUUACCACAGCAACGCCAUCAACCUGUCCCCCACCUCCACCCUCCAACACUCACCCACCACACUCACAGGUCAGCAAUAGACAUCACCAAAAUAUACAGUUACAAUUACUCUAACAAGAAUGGCAUGAUACGGAGUGAUAAUAGUGCCAACAGAAAUGUAAUCUGAAUUUAAUUCUUCACAACAUCAACGAAGAUAUUUAUAUAAAUGAACAGGUUUAAUCAAAGAGAUUAAAAGGACAUAAUUAAAGUGAACUAGAUUUGUGUGCGACAUAAAAAUUACAAGAAAGUUGAAAAAAUAAAAUGUCUCCAAAUUUUCUCAUCGUCAAUGAAUACUGUAUAUGUUACUGUGGGUGUGACUCAAUCGAUGUGGGUGUUUAUCAAUGUUUCUACAGCCACAGGGCUUCAUAACAACCUGGCUCUCAGCUCUACAUCCAUGAACUCUGGACUCUCUGCCUCUAGCACUGUUCAUGGUAUGCAGAAUAACCUGGCCUCCACCACUGGCGGCAUCCUAACAGCUAAUGGAGUCAACGCACAAACAGGUAUGAAUGGAGUGUUGAGUGUUCAGAAAUCCCCUUGAAUCAAGAGAAUUGUCAUGUACUGUCAUGUUGUGUCUUGUCUCUGUCCUUUCCCUUCACCCUGUCUCCCUCUGCUGGUCGUUGUUAGGUUACCUUUUCUCCCCCGCUUUCCCCCAGCUGUUCCUUGUCUCCUCUGACUACCCAUUCACCCCGUUUCCCACCUGUUCCCUUUUUCCCUCUGAUUAGGUCCCUAUAUCUCUCUCUGUUUCUGUUCCUGUCCUUGUCGGAUUCUUGUUUGUUGUGUUUCAUGCCUGAGCCAGACUAUCGUCAUGUUUGCUGUAACCUUGUCCUGUCCUGUCGGAAUCUGCCGGUCUAUCUGAGCCUACCUAUGUUUGGUUAUUAAAGAAGCUCUGUUUAAGUUAGUUCGCUUUUGGGUCCUCAUUCACUCACCAUA
rnacentral:lncRNA from 13 species